rnacentral:rRNA from 1 species
UACGGAGGGAGCAAGCGUUACUCGGAAUUACUGGGCGUAAAGGGUGCGUAGGCGGUUGUUUAAGUCUGUCGUGAAAUCCCCGGGCUCAACCUGGGAAUGGCGAUGGAUACUGGGCAGCUAGAGUGUGUCAGAGGAUGGUGGAAUUCCCGGUGUAGCGGUGAAAUGCGUAGAGAUCGGGAGGAACAUCAGUGGCGAAGGCGGCCAUCUGGGACAACACUGACGCUGAAGCACGAAAGCGUGGGGAGCAAACAGG